GGCGGGCGGCGCUGGACCCGCCCCGCCGGCAUCCCCGGCCGACUUCCUCCUCCUCCCGCGGCGACUCAGCUGGAGGAAGCGGCGGCGGCGGCGGCCACGAUGAGUGCGGGCGACGCCGUGUGCACGGGCUGGCUCGUCAAGUCGCCCCCCGAAAGGAAGCUGCAGCGCUACGCCUGGCGCCGGCGCUGGUUCGUGCUCCGGCGGGGCCGCAUGAGUGGCAGCCCAGACGUGCUGGAGUACUACCGCAGCAAGCACGCAAGCAAGCCCAUCCGCGCCAUCGACCUGAGCGAGUGCGCCGUCUGGAGGCACGUGGGCCCUGGCUUCCUGCGCAAGGAGUUUCAGAAUAAUUUCGUAUUCAUCGUCAAGACGACUUCACGUACCUUUUAUCUGGUAGCCAAGACCGAGGUGGAGAUGCUGGUGUGGGUGUACAGCAUCAGUCAGGUCUGCAAUCUGGGCCAGCUGGAGGAGGGCGCAGAUGCUGCCGGAGGAUGGGUGAGUGAGUGCUGUAGCCGCCCUUCACCGUUAACCUGGGCAACACUUUCCCCGGCAGAUCCAACCGAGAGCUGCUCUUGCGGGCCCCCUGCCCUCCAGCCGGCGCCAGGCAACUGCCUUCCCAGCGGCCGCACCCCCAGCGCCUCUGGGCUGAGAGGUGACGUAAGCACGGAUUUCGUGGCCGCUGAGGACAACAGAAGCGAGUCAGAGUUUCUGCCCCUUCCUGACUAUCUGAUUCUGUCCAACUGUGAGACUGGACCACCGCGACAGGCCAGUCUGCCCAGCAGAUGUGACAGCUGCUCGACCUCGGAGCGCUCACUGGAGCAGGUUUCAUCCGAUGACGUCUUCGUCGACGGCCCACCGUCUGUGGCCCCCGCUGGCUCAGGCCGCCCCUUGCGCCGUGGGAGCAGCUCCCAGAAGGUGCCUUCCCUGCAGCCGCAGGCCACCCUGACAUGGAGCAGGGACAGCACUGGGCCGGCCAGGGAUCGCUGCUCUUCGCCACUGCCGGAAACACCCUUAAAUGCCACCGUUCAGGUCGACAAGAACCAAGGUCUCCUGCCCUACGAAGCCGCAGAACGCGACCUGGCGUCCGGCACGCCGCCGCCGCGCCCCCCGAAGCCGAGCCACCUCUCCGAGCGGCGCCAGGAGCAGCCGCCGGUGGGCAGCGCACGCCACGUUGGGAGGCCGGAGAGCACUGCGGCGCCGAGAAGGGUCUCUCUCUCCGGCUUAGAUAACGUGAGCACCUGGAAAGCUGACGUAGAAGGCCAGUCGUUAAGGCACCGAGACAAGCGGCUUAGUUUAAAUUUGCCGUGUGGCUUCUCCCCCGUGUGCCCCACAGCUCCAGUUGGGGCCGAGGACGGCUACGUGCCCAUGGGCCCCCAGGCGGCCGGCUCCAGUCUUCAAACCCCCUGCGGCCACGACGACUACAUCCCGAUGAGCCCAGGAAGCCUCUCGAGCCCACUGCCAGAGCUGCCGGUGGACCUGGAGCCUCCCCCAGUAAACAGAGAUCUCAAGCCUCAGAGGAAACCACGGCCUCCUCCCCUGGACCUGAGAAACCUCUCCACCAUCCGGGAACACACGUGUGUAACCAGGACCUGCACCGUCCCUUGAGUCUUGGGCCUGGCCCCAGAGUUUCCGGCUUCUCUCCACGCCACAGGAUACAGUCACUUUGCAAAGUGGACCUCUGCAAAGAGCUGUUUGCAGCCGUGACUGCAGAGAGAUGCGGCCUGUGCUUCUGACUUGGGAGGAGGGUGAAAUGGAUUUGCCAUCUUGUUCUCAUCCCGCCAGAGGAAUGGCCACACCUCGUUACAUUUGCCAGUUACUUUGAAUGGAAACAAGAGAGCCCCAAAGGAGCAUUUUGUGUGUGUGUGUGUGUGUGUGUGUGUGUGUUUUCCUAGAUGAUAUGAGGCCUUGGUCUGUUUCUAGAAAGCUCGUGAGCUGUGUCACAUGGAGGGUCUGGAAAGAAGUAGCCCUUGAGAAUUGGGAGCCCUUUGCCCCACAACGGGGCAGAAGCUGGGCAGGCCCUACAGCCUCGGGAAGUGCUCUGGCCAGAAGGAAACUAUAUCUGGAAGGGGAGGGCUGAAGAGCCCACGGGGACCGUGUCACUUCCUGGCUGGCUUUCAGAGCAGCUGUAAGACAUUGCUUUGACCUCAUCUGUGUUUUUGUUCUCAGCAAUCGAACCAGAUUUCUCUCUCCAGAAAGAAACGGUAUUAAUUCUGCAAGAUUUUUUGCCAAUUCCGUUUCCAGAGAAGAGGAAGAAAGCUACAUCCACAUGAAUCACAGAGUGGCACACUCGCUGAGCGGCGGCGCCCUGACGUGG